rnacentral:rRNA from 1 species
AUUAAUAAUUAUUAUAUUUAAUAAAAAUAAUUUUAAUUUAAUAAAUAUUUUAAUGGGGGUUAAAGUAUUAUUUAAAGAAAAAAUUUUUAAAUUUAUAGUUAAUUAGUAUUGUGAAAGAAUUUUGAAAUAUUAUGAAAAUUAAAAUUUUAGUAAAGUAAUUUUUAUUUAUUGUAUCUUGUGUAUCAGAGUUUAUUAAAAAUUUUUAAUUUAUAAAUUAAUUUCUCGAAUUUAAAAGAGUUAAAUAAUUAUUAAAGUUAUUGUAGCAAAAUUAUUUUAAAUAAUUAUUUAGAAAUGAAAUGUUAAUCGUUUUUAAAUAUAUCUAGUUUUUAUAGAAAAAAAUUUAAUUUUAAAUUUUUAUAUUAUUUAAUUAAUUUAUUAAUUAAAUAAUUAUAAAAAUUUUAUAAUUUAAGGGAUAAGCUUUAAAUUAGAUUUUUAUAAUACUAAAUUUUUAUUUUGAAAAUUUUAUAAUUUAUAUUGUUAAUAAAUUUUAUUUUAUUAUAAAUAAUUUCAUUUUUUUUAAAAUUUAAAUUUUAUUUAAUUUUUUAUAUAAAAUUUAUUUAUAAUUAUAUAAAUUUAAUUAUAAUGAUAAAAUUAGUAUAUUAUUUAAUAUAAAAUUAAAAUUAAUUUUUAAUUAAUAAUUAAAUUAAUUAAAAGGAAUUCGGCAAAUAUUUAUUUUCACUUGUUUAUCAAAAACAUGUCUUUUUGUUUUUAAUUUAAAGUCUAAUCUGCCCACUGAUUUAAAAAAAUUGAAGGGCUGCAGUAUAUUGACUGUACAAAGGUAGCAUAAUCAUUAGUCUCUUAAUUGGUGACUUGUAUGAAAGAUUGGAUGAAAAAUAUACUGUCUCUUAAUUAAUAUGUAGAAUUUAAUUUUUUAUUUAAAAAGUUAAAAUAAUUUAAAAAGACGAGAAGACCCUAUAGAGUUUAAUAAGUUUUUUUGUAAGAGUUUUAUUUAUAAUUAUUAAUAAUUUUAUAAAUUUUUUUAUUUUAUUGGGGUGAUAAAAAAAUAAAUUUAACUUUUUUUAAAUAAUUUACAUAAAUAAAUGAUUAAU